UACGUAGGGGGCAAGCGUUGUCCGGAUUUAUUGGGCGUAAAGAGCGUGUAGGCGGCCAUACAGGUCAGCUGUGAAAACUCGAGGCUCAACCUCGAGACGUCGGUUGAAACCGUAUGGCUAGAGUCCGGAAGAGGAGAGUGGAAUUCCCGGUGUAGCGGUGAAAUGCGCAGAUAUCGGGAAGAACACCUAUGGCGAAGGCAGCUCUCUGGGACGGUACUGACGCUGAGACGCGAAAGCGUGGGGAGCGAACGGG
rnacentral:rRNA from 1 species